rnacentral:rRNA from 1 species
GACGAACGCUGACGGCGUGCUUAACACAUGCAAGUCGAAGGGAGUGGCGAACGGGUGAGUAACACGUGAGUAACCUGCCCUUUUCUUUGGGAUAAGCCUGGGAAACUGGGUCUAAUACUGGAUGGUUUGGGCUGGGCCCGCGGGUUAUCAGCUGGGUGGUGGGGGGAUGGCUUACCAGGGCUUUGACGGGUAGCCGGCCUGGGAGGGGGGUCGGUCACACUGGGACUGAGAGCCGGCCCAGACUCCUACGGUAGGAAGCAGUGGGGGUUAUUGGACAAUGGACGAAAGUCUGAUGAAGCAACGUCGGGUGUGGGAUGAAGGCCUUCGGGUUGUAAAGUUCUGUCAGCGGGGAGGCGUUACCCGCAGAAGAAGCACCGGCUAACUCCGUGCCAGCAGCCGCGGUAAUUC